GAUUAGAGAGGUCACAAACGUGAUGACUCUGAUGUAAACAGAUCCCAGUUCCGUUUGACUUUCAACUUCAAAAGCAAAUGCACGAUGCCGCUGAGGGCAUUGUUACGGUAUUUGCUGAACAAUGAACAAAUAAUCCAGAAGCUUGCAGACAGCUACCCAAUCAGACGAGCUGCCCAGCUGACAGCCUUCAUGUUUCACCGAGGUCGGGAAGUCGGUAUGUAACACACU